rnacentral:rRNA from 1 species
AUACGGAGGAUGCAAGCGUUAUCCGGAUUUAUUGGGUUUAAAGGGUGCGUAGGCGGUUUGCUAAGCGGGAGGUGAAAUGCCGGCGCUCAACGUCGGAAGUGCCUCCCGAACUGGUGGACUUGAAUGACUCUGCCGUGGGAGGAAUGUGUAGUGUAGCGGUGAAAUGCUUAGAGAUUACACAGAACACCGAUUGCGAAGGCAUCGCACGAAGGGUUGAUUGACGCUGAGGCACGAAAGCGGGGGGAUCAAACAGGAUUAGAUACCCUGGUAGUCCACGCAGUAAACGAUGAUGGCUAACCGCUGGGCUUAUCAGUUCAGUGGCCAAGCGAAAGCGAUAAGCCAUCCACCUGGGGAGUACGACCGCAAGGUUGAAACUCAAAUGAAUUGACGGGG